GACGAACGCUGGCGGCGUGCCUAACACAUGCAAGUCGAACGGAGUGUUUAUUUAUAAACACUUAGUGGCGAACGGGUGAGUAACGCGUAGACAACCUACCCUCCAGAUGGGGACAACACCGCGAAAGUGGUGCUAAUACCGAAUGUUGUAAUAUUGUUGCAUAAUGACAUUACUAAAGGUGGCCUCUAUAUAAAAGCUGCCGCUAGAAGAUGGGGCUGCGUCCGAUUAACUAGUUGGUGAGAUAACGGCUCACCAAGGCAAUGAUCAGUAGCCGGUCUGAGAGGAUGAACGGCCACACUGGGACUGAGACACGGCCCAGACUCCUACGGGAGGCAGCAGUGGGGAAUCUUCCGCAAUGGACGAAAGUCUGACGGAGCAACGCCGCGUGAGUGAAGAAGGUUUUCGGAUCGUAAAGCUCUGUCUUCAAGGACGAAUGUAGAUAUUGUGAAUAAUGAUAUUUAAUGACGGUACUUGAGGAGGAAGCCACGGCUAACUACGUGCCAGCCGCCGCCGUAAAAC
rnacentral:rRNA from 1 species